CCUUCCUACGGGAGGCAGCAGUAAGGAAUAUUGGACAAUGGUCGGAAGACUGAUCCAGCCAUGCCGCGUGAAGGAAGAAGGCGCUCAGCGUUGUAAACUUCUUUUGGAUGGGAAUAAUAACCUGUACGAGUUAGGGGCUUGAAGGUACCAUCAGAAUAAGCACCGGCUAACUCCGUGCCAGCAGCCGCGGUAAUAAGGGCAGCUCAAU
rnacentral:rRNA from 1 species